rnacentral:tRNA from 1 species
GUCAGGAUAGCUGAGCAGUAUAAUCCACUGCUUUCAGGCUGCAGUCUCCCCUGGAGGUGUGGGUUCGAAUCCUACUUCUGACG